UCUCCGUUGGUGAACCAGCGGAGGGAUCAUUACCGAGUACUAUAACUCAUAACCCUUUGUGAACCUUCAUACCUGUUGCUUCGGCGGCGCGCCCCCCGGGGCGUGCCCGCCGGCAUUAUCAGAAUCUCUGUUCGAACCCGACGAUACUUCUGAGUGUUCUAAGCGAACUGUUAAAACUUUCAACAACGGAUCUCUUGGCUCCA
rnacentral:misc_RNA from 1 species